rnacentral:ncRNA from 1 species
CGCUCAUCCAGAGGGGCAGAGGGAUACGGCCCGUUGAAGCCCCGGCAACCCUCCAGUCGGUCUUGCCGCGUCCAGCGCGCGCGAGGCUCCCGGCUAGGGAAGGUGCCAAAUCCGUCUCGUGGCGAGAUGCGUCGCGAGGAAGAUGAGGA